rnacentral:rRNA from 2 species
GACGAGGGAUCCUAGCGUUGUUCGGAAUCAUUGGGCGUAAAGCGGGUGUAGGCGGGCUUAUAAGUCAGGUGUGAAAUCCCAGGGCUCAACCCUGGAAGUGCAUUUGAUACUGUAAGUCUUGAAUGUGGUAGAGGUUACUAGAAUUCCUGGUGUAGUGGUGAAAUACGUAGAUAUCAGGAGGAAUACCAGAGGCGAAGGCGGGUAACUGGGCCAACAUUGACGCUGAGACCCGAAAGUGUGGGGAUCAAACAGG